rnacentral:SRP_RNA from 1 species
GCUGGGCGUGGUAGUGCGUGCCUGUAAUCCCAGCUACUAGGGAGGCUGAGGCAGGAGAAUCACUUGAACCCAGGAGACAGAGGUUGCAGUGAGCUGAGAUCCUAGCACUGCACUCCAGCCUGGGUGACAGAGUGAGACUCUGUCUCAA